rnacentral:lncRNA from 1 species
UUCAUCGGAUCCAAAACAAAAUACGUACCGUUUACUACACUGUUCCGAAACGUGCUUCAGUCGGUAUUCAGUCGUGGUCGUUGUCGGAUGAAAUAUCGGAAUUUUUCCGCAAGUGGAAAAUCGCAAAAAUUGUUAGCAAGCGCUGUUUUAAGAUAGAAGGUUGGAGAUUUUUUUAUUUGGUUCUGUCAUUGGCUCCUCAGGUGGAACAGCUGAGCAGGGCACAUAGAACAUCACAUAUCAUCAGUGCUGUGGUGGAUAGCGAUCUGUGUGCGUGUGACCGGUCCUCCGGGAAACUUCCACCUGUUCCGUUGCUCAUGUUAUAGGAUAAAUUGGGGCGUCAAUCACUGAACUAUGUGCUAUGGUUUUGUAAACCUUUGAUUGGCAAAACUAGAAUGAAUGUAAUUGGAAAAGUUUAUUAAUUUCUAUGCUUCGGACGAAGGCGAGAAAAUCAUUUAAGGAUGUAUAUAAUCCUGGAGAGCUUUAUGUAGCAAAUUGUGUGCAGUUCAGUUGAGAAGAGAUAUUUCGGAGAACAAAGUUUCCGAUAUCAUCGUCAAUUACUGUGAAUUUUCGUACAAAAAAGGUGUCGUGGGAAAAUGAAGUGCUGUUCGACGUCGAAAUUGUGAUAUUUAUGGCCGUAAUUCCACUCAGUGUAGUUCAUUAUUUUGGCUUAUCACGAGCGAAUGCAACAAGAUUAUUGACAACGAGUUAAACAAUGAAUCCAUACAUGUAUUAGAAUACGGUAACAUGAAAAUGCUACCAGUACAAUAAAUGGAGUUUGAUGAAAAGAUAACACAUUACCCCUCACAGCUACCCCAGUGCGGAAAAGCUGACAAUAGAGUCAUGUCGACGUAAUUGUCAUUGGAGUGAGUUGUUUGUCCAUCAAAUGAUACCGACAACAAUCACAAAUUGGCAGAUGAAUCCAGCCUAACUACAAAAGCCCCUUUGGGAACAAACCAGCUGACUUCCGCUGGCAUCAAGAACUUCGCGAUUGUGGUAGUGAUCCUUAUUGCCACACACAAAAGAAAAUAUAUUGAAAGAAAACCGUUUAAACAGCCUCAAGGAAAUUGAAAAUAAUUGAAUGCCCGACUUUUUCCUUUGACCUUAGACAAAUCGUGGCCGUUGUCAUCCCCUUCGUGCAGCAGGUUACAGUUAAUGUUUCCAAGCAGAAGAAGACUUCAGUGAAAAACAACCCUCUGGCUCCGAUGAACCGUGGGGCCCGACGCACGAAAAACCAGCAGUGCAUGAUAAUAUUAAGAAUGGUACGCUGGCAACCUGUACAAAGUUAUAAGUUUUCGUGAGCUGUGUAAGGAAUCCAUUUAAGGGCUGGUUGGUGGCAGAGAUUUCCCGUACCGUCGUCGUCUACCAUAAAACAAAAGAAAAGUGAACCCGUUCGCUGGAGGGUGGGAAAUUGGUGGCGGGCUUUUGAAUUCUUCGCUGAGUUUCAAAGGGAUAGGUGGAGUAAAUCGAGGAGCAGGAAGUACCAGGAGACGAAACAGUAACCUUUGCAAAACUGCGCACCGAGGAAAACUCAUUAACGAAAAAAGUGUGU